GCAAGUCGAACGGUAACAUGGAUUGCUUGCAAUCUGAUGACGAGUGGCGCACGGGUGCGUAACGCGUAUGCAAUCUACCUUUUACAGGAGAAUAGCCCAGAGAAAUUUGGAAUAAUGCUCCAUAAUAUCAUUUAUCAGCAUUGGUUUAUGAUUAAAGCUCCGGCGGUAAAAGAUGAGCAUGCGUUCUAUUAGCUAGUAGGUGAGGUAACGGCUCACCUAGGCUACGAUAGAUAGGGGCCCUGAGAGGGGGAUCCCCCACACUGGUACUGAGACACGGACCAGACUCCUACGGGAGGCAGCAGUGAGGAAUAUUGGACAAUGGAGGAAACUCUGAUCCAGCCAUGCCGCGUGCAGGAUGACUGCCCUAUGGGUUGUAAACUGCUUUUAUAUAGGAAGAAACACUCCCACGUGUGGGGGCUUGACGGUACUAUAUGAAUAAGGAUCGGCUAACUCCGUGCCAGCAGCCGCGGUAAUACGGAGGAUCCAAGCGUUAUCCGGAAUCAUUGGGUUUAAAGGGUCCGCAGGCGGCCUGUUAAGUCAGAGGUGAAAUCCUACAGCUCAACUGUAGAACUGCCUUUGAUACUGAUAGGCUUGAGUUAUUGUGAAGUGGUUAGAAUGUGUGGUGUAGCGGUGAAAUGCUUAGAUAUCACACAGAAUACCCAUUGCGAAGGCAGAUCACUAACAGUAUACUGACGCUCAUGGACGAAAGCGUGGGGAGCGAACAGGAUUAGAUACCCUGGUAGUCCACGCCGUAAACGAUGGAUACUAACUGUUCGACCUUCGGGUUGAGUGGUCAAGUGAAAG
rnacentral:rRNA from 1 species